rnacentral:rRNA from 1 species
AUGCCACGUGCUGAUGGUCCCUUUAAGGUGUUAGAGAAAAUAAAUGAUAAUGCAUAUAAACUUGAGCUGCCUGCAGAUUUUGGGGUUACUCCCACUUUUAACAUUGCAGAUUUGAAGCCUUAUUUGGGUGAGGAAGAUGAACUUCCGUCGAGGACGACGUCAUUUCAAGAAGGGGAGGAUGAUGAGGACAUCAAUACAAUUGUUACACCCACAGCCCCUGCUGCUAUACAUACUGGACCAAUUACUAGAGCUCGUGCACACCAACUAAAUUACCAGGUACUUUCGUUUCUUGGUAAUGAUUCUAAUGUUCAUGAGAAUAUGAUGCUGGCUAAAUUGGAUACAUUUGUUUUGCUUACAAAUGAAGGGCCUAGCUUGGAGAAGGAUGAACAUUGGAGC